ACGCUGGCGGCGUGCCUAAUACAUGCAAGUAGAACGCUGAAGAGAGGAGCUUGCUCUUCUUGAAUGAGUUGCAAACGGGUGAGUAACGCGUAGGUAACCUGCCUUGUAGCGGGGGAUAACUAUUGGAAACGAUAGCUAAUACCGCAUAACAAUGGGUGACACAUGUCAUUUAUUUGAAAGGGGCAAUUGCUCCACUACAAGAUGGACCUGCGUUGUAUUAGCUAGUAGGUGAGGUAACGGCUCACCUAGGCGACGAUACAUAGCCGACCUGAGAGGGUGAUCGGCCACACUGGGACUGAGACACGGCCCAGACUCCUACGGGAGGCAGCAGUAGGGAAUCUUCGGCAAUGGGGGCAACCCUGACCGAGCAACGCCGCGUGAGUGAAGAAGGUUUUCGGAUCGUAAAGCUCUGUUGUAAGUCAAGAACGAGUGUGAGAGUGGAAAGUUCACACUGUGACGGUAGCUUACCAGAAAGGGACGGCUAACUACGUGCCAGCAGCCGCGGUAAUACGUAGGUCCCGAGCGUUGUCCGGAUUUAUUGGGCGUAAAGCGAGCGCAGGCGGUUUGAUAAGUCUGAAGUUAAAGGCUGUGGCUCAACCAUAGUUCGCUUUGGAAACUGUCAAACUUGAGUGCAGAAGGGGAGAGUGGAAUUCCAUGUGUAGCGGUGAAAUGCGUAGAUAUAUGGAGGAACACCGGUGGCGAAAGCGGCUCUCUGGUCUGUAACUGACGCUGAGGCUCGAAAGCGUGGGGAGCGAACAGGAUUAGAUACCCUGGUAGUCCACGCCGUAAACGAUGAGUGCUAGGUGUUGGAUCCUUUCCGGGAUUCAGUGCCGCAGCUAACGCAUUAAGCACUCCGCCUGGGGAGUACGACCGCAAGGUUGAAACUCAAAGGAAUUGACGGGGGCCCGCAC
rnacentral:rRNA from 1 species